GGGGGUGCCCUGGUUUUUACUUUUUGAAAUAUGGCAAGCCUAGAAAAGGGAAGCUUUAGUAACAUUAUCACUAUUUAUUAUAUUUGUUAAUUACUUUAUAUACACACAAAGUACACUAAAAGCCAAAUUAAGAAAACAAAACACUGCACAAUAUGAUUACGUUAUUUGGAUGGAAGGGGACAUCCUUCCCGAAUCCUUUGGAUUGUAGCGCUGCCUGCGAAAAUAUCUUUCCUUUUGAAGAAAAUGGUCCAAAAUCAGCUGAAAUUUGUUCUUUUUACUUUUACAAGCCCCAGAGAAGGACUGAGUGGCAGAGCACCUGCUUUGCCUGCAGAAGGUCCCGAGUUCAAUUCUUGGCAUCUCCAGUU